UACGGAGGGUGCGAGCGUUGUCCGGAAUUACUGGGCGUAAAGGGCCAGUAGGCGGCCAACUAAGUCACACGUGAAAUCCCCAGGCUUAACCUGGGAACUGCGUGUGAUACUGGAUGGCUUGAAUUCGGGAGAGGGAUGCAGAAUUCCAGGUGUAGCGGUGAAAUGCGUAGAUAUCUGGAGGAAUACCGGUGGCGAAGGCGGCAUCCUGGACCGACAUUGACGCUGAACGGCGAAAGCUAGGGGAGCAAACAGG
rnacentral:rRNA from 1 species